CAGCAUAUUUUCAAGAAUAUAGCUGGUUAUGGCUAUGAGAUCUCCAACUGCACGCCAGAGUAAUUUGAGAAACUUUAACAGCAGAGGUCAAGACACUGCCUGCAGCUGCCACUUGCUUUUCCUAUAUGU